UUAAAUUUAUUAAUUUUUUUAUUACAAACAAGUCUUGACAAAAACAAAACUAUAAUAAAUAAAACUAGACCUAAUUGUUUCAAUUACAGACAACAGAGCAAAUGAAAAUAAAUCAAAUGGACAUAUAUUAGGGUGGAGUGAAAACUUGAAAAAAAAUUUUUUUUGAUUUGUUUGACUUUGGAUAGUUAUUAAAACUUGCUAUGUGGUACAAUCAACUACUCUGUAAAAAAAAAAUUAAUUUAAGUAACGUGUUGAGGUUCCACAACCAACUUCAAAAUUUAACCAUUUAUAAGCAUUUGCUAUCCCGUAUUCUUUUUAUUGUAGUUUGCUUUUGUACGCAUUCACGUGCGUUUUUCCUGUUUAGAGUAAACAAACAGCGUUUAUUGCAAAACUUUUUAUUCAUAUAUAAAAAUAAUUCAUAUACAGUGCUUUUUUUGUGCCGGUACGCACCGGUACGGCGUACCGGCACCUUUUUCAGUGUGGGAAAAAAUUAUUACUUAUCUUGUAUUUUAAUGUUUAUUAUUAAUUUAUUAUAUUAUUAAUUUGUCAAAAUUGAAUUAUUUUAAAAUUGCGCGCAAUAAGAAUUAAAAUAUAAAAUGCGAAACUGCUUUCCAUACACACUCGUCAUUAGUCAUUAACCCAUUUCCGGUCAUGCUUGUUUUUAUGACGUAAUGCCUUUAAAAUUUCAAAAUUUGAAUGUAAUAAUUAAGACUUAAAGAAAUUAAAACGAGU